rnacentral:rRNA from 1 species
AUUGAACGCUGGCGGCAGGCCUAACACAUGCAAGUCGAGCGAGCGGCGGACGGGUGAGUAAUGUCUGGGAAACUGCCUGAUGGAGGGGGAUAACUACUGGAAACGGUAGCUAAUACCGCAUACCAUCAGAUGUGCCCAGAUGGGAUUAGCUAGUAGGUGGGGUAACGGGUCACCUAGGCGACGAUCCCUAGCUGGUUUGAGAGGAUGACCAGCCACACGGGAAAUGGGAACCGGUCCAGAGUCCAACGUGAGGCAGCAGUGGGGAAUAUGGCACAAUGGGCGAAAGCCUGAUGCAGCCAUGCCGCGUGUGGGAAGAAGGCCUUCGGGUUGUAAAGCACUUUCAGCGGGGAGGCGGUACCCGCAGAAGAAGCACCGGCUAACUCCGUGCCAGCAGCCGCGGUAAUUC